rnacentral:rRNA from 1 species
UACGUAGGGUGCAAGCGUUGUUCGGAAUCACUGGGCGUAAAGGGAGCGUAGGCGGAAUUGUAAGUUAGGAGUGAAAUCCAUAGGCUUAACCUGUGGUUUGCUUUUAAUACUGCUUUUCUUGAGUAUGGAAGAGGGAGAUGGAAUUCCAGGUGUAGCGGUGGAAUGCGUAGAUAUCUGGAAGAACACCAGUUGCGAAGGCGGUCUCCUGGUCCAAUACUGACGCUGAGGCUCGAAAGCUAAGGGAGCAAACAGG